ACAAAAUCAAUUUGCUCCAGCAACAGAUCCAGCAGGUUCAAGGUCAGCUGCCGCCAUUAAUGAUUCCCGUAUUCCCUCCUGAUCAACGGACACUGGCUGCAGCUGCCCAGCAAGGAUUCCUCCUCCCUCCAGGCUUCAGCUAUAAGGCUGGAUGUAGUGACCCUUACCCUGUUCAGCUGAUCCCAACUACCAUGGCAGCUGCUGCCGCAGCAACACCAGGCUUAGGCCCACUCCAACUGCAGCAGUUAUAUGCUGCCCAGCUAGCUGCAAUGCAGGUAUCUCCAGGAGGGAAGCUGCCAGGCAUACCCCAAGGCAACCUUGGUGCUGCUGUAUCUCCUACCAGCAUUCACACAGACAAGAGCACAAACAGCCCACCACCCAAAAGCAAGGUACCCUUUUGAAGAAGCCACUGUCUUGCCACUUAGCUUUAUUUUUCAUUCAAUGGUAUUUAUUAAAUGUCUAUUAUAUGCCAGCAGCUAGCUUAAACUCUGGGUGUACAAGGAGGUAAGAAUCAAGUAAGGGCAACAGGUGUGCAUGUAAACUUAUCUGCAUACAUUGAAUCAUUCAUUUAUUCAUUUAUUCAAUAUGUGUGUAUCGAUAACUAUAGUAGAAAAUGUGAGAGAUAAAAAAGAUUAUCAGAUGGGUAUCUUGUACCCAAGGAGCUUACAGUCUGCUUGUGUAGAUAUUUAUAAAAAUAGCCAAAUAGCCAUACUCUAUGAUACAAAAUAAAUUUUGUAAAAAGUUACAGAUAAAGUACAUUGGAAGUUAUAUUGGGAGGCAGAGAUCAUCUUCAGUGAGAGAUCCCAUCAGGAGUUUGCCAGAGAAGGGAAAACUGAAAUAGACCUUAAAAUACAA
rnacentral:sRNA from 1 species